AAGCAGCAAGCGACUUCUGAGGGGAGCUGUCUGUAUUUUCCGUCCGUUCUUUGGCGGAUAGACGGAUAAUUUGAGGAAGACAAGUGUCUUUCAGAAGCUGAUUGUCUUCAAGAGAUUUCUGAGAGAAGCGUUGAAAACGGACGAAAAAUGAUGGGUGUCAUGGAGACUUUAUGUUUCGCCGCCAUCUUGCUUUUGUUUACAACGCCUCAAACGGAAUCCCUCUCCAUUAAGCGACAAGUAGCGAGUUCUGAUGCCGAUCUUACGGCCGCUCUUGCAGUUCUCCAACGUCAUCGAAGACAGGCCUCUGACAUAGACUAUCUCAGGAGCUAUCUUUUAGAAAAUCGUAACAAGAUUCCACCGUCGUAUUUAAAUGCUUUAAAUGAAAACUAUGGCCUUAACUUAGAGAGUUAUUAUUCAAAGCAACCGAAUGCAGAAGAUAUUCUAGAUAGGCAGAUGCUUAUGGAUGCAUACAAACCGAAAAAUUAUAAGGAUGUCGGAUUGUUCGAUUUAUAUGAGCCUGAUAAGAGAAAUGUAAAACGCUCUCGAACAGCACCAUCAAAAGCAGAACUUGCUGAAAUAUUUGGCGACAUCAACAAAGCUUCUGAAAGGACUCAUAAACGACAAAUUUCAACACAGCUUCCUGGAUCAGAUUUCUCAUCACAAGACGACAGCUUAAAUUCGGAGAAACAGAAAGUGUCCAAGUCAGCAAUGAAAAAAAUGUUUGAGGAAAACAGUGACAGAGACAACGGCAAAGACACCAAUCAAAAGGAAGAAAACGACAAGAAACAUACUCAAGUCAGCAACAGUGAGUUGAAGAACGUAUUUGGAGACGAAGUGGGAGAUAAGGAGGAACAGGCUAAGCCUACAUCUACUCAAGAGCAGGCUCCUGAACCUGCAGGGAAAGAAAGCAAAGAAGAGCGGAGUACCCCAACAGAAGGAGAACGAUUUGAAGCUCUGGCAAGGUAUGAAAACUUGGCAAAUAUCAAAUCGGAGAAGAAAAAACGAGUGGAAAAACGUGACUACGAUUCAGAGAUAGAACUAUCACAAUCGGUAUUGGAUUUAACAAAAACUGUUGCAGCACUUCGUGACGAAGUGGCACGACUGAAGAUUGCUGAAGCCUUAGAAGAUAAAGAAAACGACCUCCUAGCAUCUGCUCUCAAACAGGCAACCUUAGGUCAACUCCAGGGCACAGAGGGUAAUCUGAAGAAAGAGUUUCUAGAUAUACAAAAUGCUAUUAGAGUAGAAGAGCAACUACAAUCAAUCAAAACUCCCGAAGAAGAGGAAAACGAUGAAUCUAGCGAUGAGGACAGUGUAGAAGAGGAAUUCCCAGUAGCUAACAAACGACAAACUAUUUCUGAAGAUUUGACCCAAAACGAAAACGCAAAUAUUGGACAGUGGUAUGAAAAUCCCGUAGAUGACGAGGAAAGCAAUGAACAACAAAAGGAAGAGGAAAAUGAAAAUGCAAUGGAAGAACUUAUGUCCAGUCUCGGUCCAUCUGAAAGACAACAGCUAGCAGAGGGUUUUCUUGGAAACAGUGCCUAUGAUGAACCUUCAAAUGAAAAUAAUUGUCCGGGCGUCAAUUACCUUACUUCCCAGUGUUCCGUGGCAAAAAUGGCGGGUCUCCGAAUAGACGAUGAAGCAAAGAAUCUCUGCAAUAGGCAUGAAAUAUGUUACACGUGUGUAAGUAGAGUUGCUACUAAAAUAAUAUGUAUGCGUCAUUGGAUAAUAAUUAUGAAAAGAAAAUUGUUAUUAUGUGUGCGUCGAUAAUAUGAACAUUUUAAAGUCUUUGAUAUAUAAAGCGCCCUCUUACAAUUCCUUUCAUUCUAGGGAGGAUCUCUGUCAUUCACUCAAUCGACAUGCGACGCUGGAUUCCGUGGUGACGUCAUAGAAAUGUGCGGGAAGGACACGGAAUGCAUUGAAAAUGGCGCCAAAUUUCUAUGGUUUUUAAAAUCGGAACAUACGUACAACUAUGUUUACCUGGACAAAUGUGACUCUGGAUGUGUUAGUGAUUUCAUAAAAGGUCUAUGAAAUUAUAAUCACCAUUUCAAAAAGUUAUAUGGCUUUAUUAUCUCUUGGAUAUUCCGAAAUUCAAUAUGAUCAGACUUUUGAAAGUCUUUAGAAAAAAGAAACAAAAAUGUGAUGAAAGAAGUUUACUUAAUCAUUGUGGACUGGAUGUUUGCUCACGUACAGCUUGAUUUGUUAAAAUGUUUAUAAUUACUCUUUUUAAAUUUCUGUAGUGUUAAACUGGAUAUUUACUCGAUAUUUACUCAGUUGGUCUAUAUUUGUAGCUAAAUAAUAGGUUGUAAUCUUCAAUAUUGUUGAGCCUCAGUCAGAAAACAUAAUUUUUUUUAUCAUAGCACGUUAACGUUGAACAUUUACAUGAAUUUUUAAAAAUUUAUCGGUAUUAUUUGUUUGGACCUUAAAAUAAUGUCAACCUUGCAUUUUUAAAUGCCUAACAACUGAAACAAAUAUUUGGUACUACAAAUGAUUAGCAAUUGUGAUCAAUUCAAAAGUUUAAAAGACACUUUUGAAUAGAAAAGAUGAAAUUUUGUUUCAAUAAAAUGUCUCCAUACCCGUG
rnacentral:misc_RNA from 1 species